rnacentral:rRNA from 1 species
UAUGGUAAGCCAGCCGCCGCGGUAAUACGGAAGGUCCGGGCGUUAUCCGGAUUUAUUGGGUUUAAAGGGAGCGUAGGCCGGAGAUUAAGCGUGUUGUGAAAUGUAGACGCUCAACGUCUGCACUGCAGCGCGAACUGGUUUCCUUGAGUACGCACAAAGUGGGCGGAAUUCGUGGUGUAGCGGUGAAAUGCGUAGAUAUUGGGAAGAACACCAGUGGCGAAGGCGGCUUUCUGGACUGUAACUGACGCUGAGGCUCGAAAGCUAGGGUAGCGAACGGG